rnacentral:rRNA from 1 species
AGUGAACGCUGGCGGUAGGCCUAACACAUGCAAGUCGAACGGCAGCACAGUAAGAGCUUGCUCUUACGGGUGGCGAGUGGCGGACGGGUGAGGAAUACAUCGGAAUUUACUUUUUCGUGGGGGAUAACGUCGGGAAACUUACGCUAAUACCGCAUACGACCUACGGGUGAAAGCAGGGGAUCUUCGGACCUUGCGCGAUUGAAUGAGCCGAUGUCGGAUUAGCUAGUUGGCGGGGUAAAGGCCCACCAAGGCGACGAUCCGUAGCUGGUCUGAGAGGAUGAUCAGCCACACUGGAACUGAGACACGGUCCAGACUCCUACGGGAGGCAGCAGUGGGGAAUAUUGGACAAUGGGCGCAAGCCUGAUCCAGCCAUACCGCGUGGGUGAAGAAGGCCUUCGGGUUGUAAAGCACUUUUGUUGGGAAAGAAAAGCAGCAGGUUAAUACCCCGCUGUUCUGACGGUACCCAAAGAAUAAGCACCGGCUAACUUCGUG